AUUGAACGCUGGCGGCAGGCCUAACACAUGCAAGUCGAACGAGCGGCGGACGGGUGAGGAAUGUCUGGGAAACUGUCCGAUGGAGGGGGAUAACUACGCGAAACGGUAGCUAAUACCGCAUACCAUCGGAUGUGCCCAGAUGGGAUUUGCUCGUAGGUGGGGUAACGGCUCACCCAGGCGACGAGCCCUAGCUGGUCUGAGAGGAUGACCAGCCACACUGGAACUGAGACACGGUCCAGACUCCUACGGGAGGCAGCAGUGGGGAAUAUUGCACAAUGGGCGAAAGCCUGAUGCAGCCAUGCCGCGUGUAUGAAGAAGGCCUUCGGGUUGUAAAGUACUUUCAGCGGGGAGGCGUUACCCGCAGAAGAAGCACCGGCUAACUCCGUGCCAGCCGCCGCGGUAAUAC
rnacentral:rRNA from 1 species